rnacentral:rRNA from 1 species
GACGAACGCUGGCGGCGUGCCUAACACAUGCAAGUCGAACGGAAAGGCCCUGCUUUUGUGGGGUGCUCGAGUGGCGAACGGGUGAGUGACACGUGAGUAACCUGCCCUUGACUUUGGGGUAACUUCAGGAAACUGGGGCUAAUACCGGAUAGGAUCUCCUGCUGCGUGGUGGGGAUUGGAAAGUUUCGGCGGUUGGGGAUGGACUAGCGGCUUAUCAGCUUGUUGGUGGGGUAGGGGAUGACCAAGGCUUUGACGGGUAGCCCGCCUGGGAGGGUGGCCGGGGACAUUAGGCCUGAGAUACGGAGCAGUCGCGUACGGUAGGCAGCAGUGGGGAGUAUUGCACAACGGGCGGGAGUCUGAUGCAACGGCGUCGGGUGCGUGAAGACGGCCUUCUGGUUGUAAACCGCUGUCGCCUGUGACGAAGCGGUAGUGACGGUAACGGGUAAAGAAGCACCGGCUAACUACGUG